rnacentral:rRNA from 1 species
CCUGAUGCAGCCAUGCCGCGUGUGUGAAGAAGGCCUUCGGGUUGUAAAGCACUUUCAGUCAGGAGGAAAGGUUAGUAGUUAAUACCUGCUAGCUGUGACGUUACUGACAGAAGAAGCACCGGCUAACUCCGUGCCAGCAGCCGCGGUAAUACGGAGGGUGCGAGCGUUAAUCGGAAUUACUGGGCGUAAAGCGUACGCAGGCGGUUUGUUAAGCGAGAUGUGAAAGCCCCGGGCUCAACCUGGGAACUGCAUUUCGAACUGGCAAACUAGAGUGUGAUAGAGGGUGGUAGAAUUUCAGGUGUAGCGGUGAAAUGCGUAGAGAUCUGAAGGAAUACCGAUGGCGAAGGCAGCCACCUGGGUCAACACUGACGCUCAUGUACGAAAGCGUGGGGAGCAAACGGGAUUAGAUACCCCGGUAGUCCACGCCGUAAACGAUGUCUACUAGAAGCUCGGAGCCUCGGUUCUGUUUUUCAAAGCUAACGCAUUAAGUAGACCGCCUGGGGAGUACGGCCGCAAGGUUAAAACUCAAAUGAAUUGACGGGGGCCCGCACAAGCGGUGGAGCAUGUGGUUUAAUUCGAUGCAACGCGAAGAACCUUACCUACACUUGACAUACAGAGAACUUACCAGAGAUGGUUUGGUGCCUUCGGGAACUCUGAUACAGGUGCUGCAUGGCUGUCGUCAGCUCGUGUUGUGAGAUGUUGGGUUAAGUCCCGCAACGAGCGCAACCCCUAUCCUUAGUUGCUAGCAGGUAAUGCUGAGAACUCUAAGGA